rnacentral:rRNA from 1 species
GGGAACCGCCGGACAGUUUGUGAGGUUUUGGCCCUCUCAAAAGCCAAUUCCCCGGGGUUGAUUUUUCUAUCAAAGACAUGUCAAGCCUCAAGUACGAUGGAGAAACUUAAGUGGAGAUUACAAAUGAAACGAUUUGCUGGUGUUUCAAGUGUUGGCCUCAGUGGGGGUCUAGCUUUAUAUUGGGAUGAGAAUUUGGAGGUAACCCUGUUAGAUUCUUGUGCAUGUUAUAUAGGUGUGAAAAUAAUUGAUGUUGCUAAUGAUAAAACAUGGAGAUCUACCUUUGUGUAUGGAGAACCAUGGGUGGAGCACCAUCGUCGCAUGUGGAGCGCCCUAUCAAAUCUUCGGGCGGUGUUAUCGGAUCCGUGGCUGGUUUGUGGGGAUUUCAAUGAGGCUAUGUGGCAACAUGAACAUUUUUCUCGUUCACAAUGAUCUGAAAAUCAGAUGCUCCUUGAUACGUCUCCAACGUAUCUAUAA